GCCCCACACUCUCUUGAGAGCAUUAUCAGGCAACUGCCUGACCUCUGGAUGACCAAAGCCUGAAUGACUCACUAUCAAAGCUUGCUGCUGACUGAGCGACUGACUUUUGCUCCCCCUUCUGUCCUCAAUCCCACUACCUUACUAUCCCAAACUAACGAAACCCCCACCCCCCGCCCCCCGUGCACAACUGCGGGGAGAUAUUGGCCAGCCAUGGCCAGGAACAGCAACCUGGUUCACUGACAGAAGCAGCUUUGUGGUAGAAGGAUCUAAAAAGAGGAUAAAAUUAGUCAGUAGGUCCCCCUAUCACAUUCCUGGACUACAAAAGGCAGCAGAAGACCUGGUAAGCAACUGCCAAGCCUGCACGCUCACCAAUGGUGGAUUCAGUAGGCUCCAUGGUGGAAGGCAUCUGCGGGGAGACAGACCUGGGACCUUCUGGGAAACUGACUUUACUGAGAUAAAACCAUCCAGCCAUCAAAACUACAUGAUAAAAGCCAAUGUAUGAAGGCAUCACAUAUUUGAGGAGUUAAACCUAGAAAAUUUGAAACUGAUAGAAAGCUGUCUUCAAGGGUCUUGGAGUCAGCAUGCCUAAGGACAAGAUGUCUAGAAGGACUCCUGAGAUGAACACAGUUGAAUCUGAGACAGUUGUACCUGUCACUUGCUCUCAGAGUCAGCUCUCAACAAGGGAAAGGGCAUAGAAAAAUUUACCAAUCUAAUUUGUAUUACAGGUUUUCUGGAGACAAGGGUGUAAACAGAUAGAAGAAAGAAAUGAAACCCUAGGCAGUGAAAAAACAUUUUGAGGUGAUGACAAUGUUCUUUAUCACAUUCUGUGAUGAGAUUAUAAGUACACACAUUCGGGGAAACAUGUCAACUGCUGUCAUGUCUCGAAUGUGUAUUAAUUAUAAAUUAAUAUUUAAUUGUAUCCCCACAAUAACUCUAUAAACUACUAAUAAACUUCCAGUUAUUCACCAUUUUAAUUAAGUUGAAUAUAGCUAUAUAGCUUUUAUUGGUAAAUCAUUUUUGAAAAAAUAAUUUUGGCCUUCAAACUAAAGGAAGCUUUCAUUUCCUACAAUGUAAGUAGGAAUAUUACUUUGCAUACUAAAGACAAAGAAUAGAUAGGGUUAUCUUUGAAAAACAACUUCAAGAGAGAAUGCAUUUCAGGACACUCAAUAUCUUUCAUUAUUUUUAGAAAUAUUUCAUAAGCAUCAAUCAAUAUAACUCAUUUAUUAAAGUUUAUUUCAUAAUAUUUGGAUCGUUUUAUAAAUCUUUUUUUAACCCUCAAUCAAAUGCCCUUUAUUUAAAUUAACUUAAAUAUUUAUUUCUUUUACAUUCUGCAUAUGAAUGUUUUGCUUUCAUUGAUGAACAUGUACCACAUGCACACCGACUGACAUUCCUGGGAUGGAUAGAAGGACCAAGCCUGAGUCCAAUGCACAGCCAACAAGAUUCCUGUCUCCAGCUCCAGUCUUUUCUUUUCUUCAUGUAAUUGCAUACAUUCUCCAAGUGAAUGAACUACCAUUAGUUUUUCAGAUAUUUUAACUAUUUGUCUAAAUGAUUCCUAGCUAAUUUCACAGAAUAAUUACUUUUUCGGCACAAUUUUUCUUUUUAAAUUUACUAACAGGAAAACUUAGAAGUAGAGAAAAAAGAUUCGUCUUUACACCAAUAAAAAAAUAAAUAGAUUUGCUCAAAUAGUCAGGAACAGCUAAAAGAAGACCAAAGGGCCUGUUGGAAUGCGUCUGGCCCUGACAGAGGUGGGAAAUAGGGAAAAAAAGGUAAGGUCAAAGAGUGUAGAGGAAUAAUGGUAGGGAUCUGUGAUAGAAAUUUCUAACCUUUUCAUUUUUCACAGAUUUAUAUUUACUUGCUUCUGGAAUCCACAACAAAUUACUACAAGCUGAGUAUCUUAGAACAAGUGACAUUUUUCAUUGUCAUGAAGACCAGUAUCCCCAAGAUAAGGUUCAACAAAGACAGAAAUCUCAGCACCGAGAAGAGAAAGCAAAUGCAAAUUCCCACUCCUAACUAAGUUGCUGUUUACCAUUGAUAUUCUCUGGGAAGAAAAAAUUCACAGUUGUCCAAUGGAACAUCACCAUUGUCAACUGGGAAUAUCACUGGCAUUCCAGGGCAGUCUCCAUGCUGAUAGCAGUUGAACAACACAAAGGAGAUUGAAAUUGAAAUUAAUACCUUAAUGUGGAAGCAUGAUGAACUGCCUGUCAGGGAGGUGCACGCUUCCACUUUACAAAGUUCAAUAUCUGCUUCUUCUUGGGACUGUGACUCAUCCUUGGCAAAAUCAUUUGUGGCAGUAUAGGGAGAAAAGGCAAGGCGUUCCUUUAGUGGAAGAUGAAAUUUCUUGUAGUUUCACAUUACAGCUGAUGCAACUUCACAGCUGAAGACAAUUUUAUGUGCACGUUUAUAAUAUUUACUACCCAAUAAGAAGGCUGGAUGUUAAAAAAAAUGGGUAUAACAGGCAAGACAAAAGACCAGUUUUCAGGAUGAAAGUUCAUUGCUAAUCUUGGAUACAGACAUUUUAAUGCUGCAACUAAUGUAGUGUUAUUAUUAUUAUUAUGAAAGUAUUAUCACAUUUUUUCUCUCAUACUGUAAAAUGCAGUUGCCUAUAGUUUUAGAAAGUAACUGAAUUAUCAUUUACUUUUAGCUGGAAAUGAAAUGAGAUAAUUUUACCUAUAUAAAUUUAUUUUAAGUUAACAUACCUUAGGACGUUUUGGCUUAGUAAAUAUAAAAUCAGUGUUUUUCAAUAUUUUAGUUUGUCUCUUUAAUGUACAGGCGACACAUCCAUCAGUUAUUUGGGGUGUGGAUUUAUAGUUGAUGAGGAAAGUCAAGAUCUUUUACAUCUAUAAAAACAUAGAGGUAUUUCAGUUUUCUCUGCAUAUCAAUAAUAUUAAUAAACAACAGUUUUCCAAAUGUACCUCAUAAAUGUUCUGCAAGAUAAACUGAGAUAGACUGGGGAAUGAAAAAAAGCACUCAGUAAUAAAGGCUGCUUACUCUUCCUCCA